UUGCCAAACAAUACGAUUAAUUAUACAGAGUAUCAGAUUAUGGGUAAAGUCUCUAAAGUGCGCUAGGAACCAGGUUGUAUACCAAGGAAGUUCGAAUGCCAAGAAGAUAGAAGGAAACGGAUGUGCAGCUUUAAGGAACGACCAUAUAUGUUGAAAAAAACAAAGGAUGUCAAUAACCACACAGUGUUUGAAUGAAGCAGAACAAAAUAGUACCUUAAGUUCAUCUGUCCAGGAUACUUCUAAUACAAGUUCAGAUUUUAAAAUAGUUGGAGAGAAUGUACCUGAAACACCUGAAACUUUAUGUGAACUAACAGCGAAUAUAUCCAAAUAUUUACUAAAGAGGCAAACUUGAUUCCACUAAGCGUUCACGGAACCUCAGAAUACUACACUUUAAAGCGUAUGAAAUAGAAGACGAAG